CCUACGGGAGGCAGCAGUGAGGAAUAUUGGUCAAUGGCCGCAGGGCUGAAGCAGCCAAGUCGCGUGAGGGAUGACGGUCCUAUGGAUUGUAAACCUCUUUUGUCAGGGAGCAAAGGGCGCCACGUGUGGCGUUUGGCGAGGACCUGAAGAAAAAGCAUCGGCUAACUCUGUGCCAGCAGCCGCGGUAAUACGGAGGAUGCGAGCGUUAACCGGUUUUAUUGGGUUAAAAGGGUGCGCAGGGGGAAUGGCAAGUCAGCGGUAAAAUUUCGGGGCUCAACCCCGUCGUGCCGUUGAAACUGGGCGUCUUGAGUGAGCGAGAAGUAUGCGGAAUGCGUGGUGUAGCGGUGAAAUGCAUAGAUAUCACGCAGAACUCCGAUUGCGAAGGCAGCAUACCGGCGCUCAACUGACGCUCAUGCACGAAAGCGUGGGUAUCGAACAGGAUUAGAUACCCUGGUAGUC
rnacentral:rRNA from 1 species